rnacentral:rRNA from 1 species
GAUGAACGCUAGCUACAGGCUUAACACAUGCAAGUCGAGGGACCGGCGCACGGGUGAGUAACACGUAUCCAACCUGCCCUUUACUCUGGGAUAGCCUUUCGACAGAAAGAUUAAUACCCGAUGUAAAGGAUGGGGAUGCGUUCCAUUAGGUUGUUGGUGAGGUAACGGCUCACCAAGCCUUCGAUGGAUAGGGGUUCUGAGAGGAAGGUCCCCCACAUUGGAAAUGAGACAAGGUCCAAACUCCUACGGGAGGCAGCAGUGAGGAAGAUUGGUCAAUGGGCGGUAGCCUGAACCAGCCAAGGAGCGGGAAGGAUGAAGGCUUAUGGGUCGUAAAGUACUUUCAGUCGGGAGGCGUUACCGACAGAAGAAGCACCGGCUAACUCCGUGCCAGCAGCCGCGGUAAUAC